rnacentral:rRNA from 1 species
GAAAGUUUUGAUUUAUUUAUGUUUUACUCAGACGUUACAUAUAGAAACAGAGUUUAGGGGUCCUCUGGCGGGCCGUCCCGUUUUACCGGGAGCGGGCUGAUCCGCCGAGGCAACAAUUGGUAUGUUCACAGGGGUUUGGGAGUGUAAACCCGGUAAUGAUCUUCCGUAGGUGUGCCUGCGGAGGGAUCAUUACCGAGUUUACAACUCCCAAACCCCUGUGAACAUACCAAUUGUUGCCUCGGCGGAUCAGCCCGCUCCCGGUAAAACGGGACGGCCCGCCAGAGGACCCCUAAACUCUGUUUCUAUAUGUAACUUCUGAGUAAAACCAUAAAUAAAUCAAAACUUUCAACAACGGAUCUCUUGGUUCUGGCAUCGAUGAAGAACGCAGCAAAAUGCGAUAAGUAAUGUGAAUUGCAGAAUUCAGUGAAUCAUCGAAUCUUUGAACGCACAUUGCGCCCGCCAGUAUUCUGGCGGGCAUGCCUGUUCGAGCGUCAUUUCAACCCUCAAGCCCCCGGGUUUGGUGUUGGGGAUCGGCGAGCCCUUGCGGCAAGCCGGCCCCGAAAUCUAGUGGCGGUCUCGCUGCAGCUUCCAUUGCGUAGUAGUAAAACCCUCGCAACUGGUACGCGGCGCGGCCAAGCCGUUAAACCCCCAACUUCC